UUCGGGAGAGGCAAGCGUUGCUCGGAAUCAUUGGGCUUAAAGCGCGUGUAGGCGGCUCGCUAAGUGCCGUGUGAAAGCCCUCGGCUCAACCGAGGAAUUGCACGGUAUACUGGCGGACUUGAGGGAGGUAGGGGUGCCUGGAACUCUAGGUGGAGCGGUGAAAUGCGUUGAUAUCUAGAGGAACGCCCGUGGCGAAAGCGGGGCACUGGGCCUCUCCUGACGCUGAGACGCGAAAGCGUGGGUAGCAAACGGG
rnacentral:rRNA from 1 species